ensembl:lncRNA
UAAAAGUAAUGGAAAAAACUUUUUGAAAAAUUCCGCAUCUGAAAAAAAUCCCAAAAUAUUUUGCAAAAAGUCAUGAAAUUCUAUCUUUAGUCAUAUGAAGGGGCACGACGGUGAGAAAACGUACAUUUGAAUAAAAAUAUGAAUUUUUUUGAAAUUGGAGUCAUAAGACAUUCUAACAGCAGCAGUUGACACGGUACAGUGGUGUAGUGGUUAGCACUGUCGCCUCCCAGACAGAUGCCUCGGGUUCAACUCCACCCAGUGGCGCCUCUGUGUUAGGUGGUGUAGGCUAAGCCUGCAUUGGGUUCACUCCAUACUUGUAAAAGUAAUGGAAAAAACUUUUUUUAAACUUCCACGUCUGAAAAGAAUCCCAAAAUAUUUUGCAAAAAUCAUGAAAUUCUAUCUUUAGUCAUAUGAAGGGGCACGACGGUGAGAAAACGUACAUUUGAAUAAAAAUAUGAUUUUUUUCGAAAUUGGAGUCAUAAGACAUUCUAAUGGCAGCAGUUGACACGGUACAGUGGUGUAGUGGUUAGCACUCUCGCUUCCCAGACAGAUGCCUCGGGUUCAACUCCACCCAGUGGCGCCUCUGUGUUAGGUGGUGUAGGCUAAACCUGCAUGGGGUUCACUCCAUACUUGUAAAAGUAAUGGAAUUUUUUUAUUAGACUUCCACGUCUGAAAAGAAUCCCAAAAUAUUUUGCAAAAAGUCAUGAAAUUCUAUCUUUAGUCAUAUGAAGGGGCACGACGGUGAGAAAACGUACAUUUGAAUAAAAAUAUGAAUUUUUUCGAAAUGGGAGUCAUAAGACAUUCUAACGGCAGCAGUUGACACGGUACAGUGGUGUAGUGGUUAGCACUCUCGCCUCCCAGACAGAUGCCUCGGGUUCAACUCCACCCAGUGGUGCCUCUGUGUUAAGUGGUGUAGGCUAAGCCUGCAUGGGGUUCACUCCAUACUUGUAAAAGUAAUGGAAAAAACUUUUUUUAAACUUCCACGUCUGAAAAGAAUCCCAAAAUAUUUUGCAAAAGUCAUGAAAUUCUAUCUUUAGUCAUAUGAAGGGGCACGACGGUGAGAAAACGUACAUUUGAAUAAAAAUCUGAAUUUUUUCUAUUUGGAGUCAUAAGACAUUCUAACGGCAGCAGUUGACACGGUACAGUGGUGUAGUGGUUAGCACUCUCGCUUCCCAGACAGAUGCCUCGGGUUCAACUCCACCCAGUGGCACCUCGGUGUUAGGUGGUGUAGGCUAAGCCUGCAUGGGGUUCACUCCAUACUUGUAAAAGUAAUGGAAAAAACUUUUUUUAAACUUCCACGUCUGAAAAGAAUCCCAAAAUAUUUUGCAAAAGUCAUGAAAUUCUAUCUUUAGU